rnacentral:lncRNA from 1 species
UUCUAGUUGCAUAUUUGUUUUAUGGUUAUUUAAUUUCUUUUAUAAAACUUAAGAUCAUUAUCAAAACAUUGGCUUAAAGUGUUUAUAUUUAUUUUCAGUAUUUCGUGUGAUAAUUGGUCUUUAUAAUAUAUGCUCUACAACUUCUUAUGAGAUCGGUCUUAUGGUGAACUUACCCGAACUAUCAUUCGGUUCGUAUACUUGCGAAUACUAAUUUACGAUUUAUAAAAUUUAUAACAUCAAAAGAAAAAUUAGAUAAAUUAUUCUGAAAUUAAUAUAACGACAUGUACAAAUCAGAUUCAAAUAUUUAAUUUUUAAUCUUUUUUUUCGUGGACGGCGUCUAGUAAUACGGAGCUUUACCAUUAUGACGUUCAGUUUUGAUCAAAUUCAUAAAUAUCUCGUAUACACUAGUGAGUGAAGAAAAAAAAUGAGUAAAAUUCAGUGAGAAGAUAAAUAAAUAAUAAAAGAGAAUAAACAAUGAUUUAAAUAAAAUUUAUAUAAUAUAAUCUUUGAAUAUUUUUCUGCUAGAAAAAUACUACUAAUAUUAAAAAUAUAAAUAUUUAAUUAAAUAAAUUUAACUGGACAAAUAAAAUUUUAUAAAACUAAACAAAUAAAGAACCAUCUCACUAUUUAUCCAAAACUAAAUUCAAUUUUCAAAUCUGAAUCAAUAAUAUUCAUAUCUCAAAUCAAUAAAAAAAAUAUCAAUAAUAAUUAAAAACUAAUAUAAAUCAAGAAAACGUAAUAAACAAAUGAAUAGUUUAGUAAAACCCAAUAUAUACUCAUAGAUAUAUCCCACUGAUCUCUAUCAACUUUGGACACUCAAAUAUCUCAUCUAUGCAGAUUUUAAAGUGCAAUACGCAUGCAGACAAAUACGUCAUUAAAGGGCAACCAUCUAGCAUGUACUCUAAAGUUGAUAUAUAUACUAAGCGUUGUCCCGAAUAUAGUAUCCUAUUAACACAUGUAUCCAAUAUGUAAUUUUAUAGGUUACAUAAAAUGAGUGUAUAUCCAUUUAUUCAGUUAAGAAAAAUUACAUUCAUAUAUAAAAUAAAAACUAAAAUAUCAUUUUCUAUUCCCGAUUUCUAUAAAAAAUAUCAAAUUUUUAAAUUACAUUUAAACUAACUAAUAUUGAAUAGAAACAUUUUGACAAAUCAUAAAAAAUAUAGAUAAUAUAUUAAAAAAAUAAAAUGUUAUAAGUUUAUCUACUCACAUGGUAUAAAAAAUCCAAACCUAUACCUUUCAUUUAUCUCACUAAUUUUUCUCCUCGAACAACUUUCAAACUCAUAAUCUUAUGAGUCGUACAUAAAUAAAAUGUAGAAAUAAAUUUAAAUUCUAUUUCCUAAUAAUUCUUGCCUAAUAUCUAAUGUCUAAUUAUACUAUUAUUUUUCAUAUAAUUCUAUUAAUUAUUUUCUUAUUAUUCCACCAGGAUUUCUGACAAUAUCUCCUUUAUAAAUGAGACUGAUUUCUGACAAUAUCUCCUUUAUAAAUGAGACUAAUUCCUCUCUAAGACCUGCAAGAAAUUACAACUCACAAGAUGCUCAUCUAAAGCCACCAAUUAUUCAAUUUAAUUUUCAUUCGAACAGUCCAAUUAAACAUCCGUAGUCCAUCUCCAAAUUUAAACUCCAACAAAGCUAAUUACUCAAUCUCCGAAAUAUAAAUAUGAUAUGCCACACUUCAAAUACCAUAAUACUUCCAAUUACUAAUCAAUGUAAUCCCAACAUUUUUAAAUUCAAAUCCAAUAAAUAUUUUAUAACUAAAAUCAUCCUAGGUUUUUAACUCCAUUAAUUAUCCUACAAAAGCAACGACAACCCAAUAAAAACCGAUUAAUUCGACAAUUUACUCAAAUAUAAUUAAUUUAAAAUUCACACUUAAAAUCUAAAAUAACUAACCGAGUCAAAUUUCAGCAAACUAAUACCGUAGAAGGUCUUGGAAUUGCGUUGCGAAAAUCUGCCGUUUGGCACACAUAACGAAGCGCCGCUGUGCAUGGUGGUCGAGAAAUUUCGACGUUGCCAAAAAUGAGAAAAGGGAUCACCUUCUCGAAGCUUUUGACAAGAGGAAUCCAGCCAUACCAAGAUCGUUCCUAGAUUCCACGCCGUCGCUGUAAACUGGGCCUUAAAAGCUACGGCUCUGACGAGCAGCGAUCUCCCCCCAUUGAUGAUGGCAACGGAUAAGACGCUCUAGACAGACGUUUUCAGCGGCGAGGAAUCGACUGGUGAUGGCUUCUUGGCUUGGACGUCGACGGCUUGGCCAGAACGAAGAGGAUAGCCGCACGUCUCGUCCUUCCCUCCUUCAAACUCAUUUUUUCGGCGAGAAAAUAGCUCACCUCCGGUCACCAAAAAAUCUAGGUGAAACGAGAGGACUGUAGCUGAUGGUUUGAGGACGAACGAUGACGGAAAAAGGGCUGGCCAGAGUUGAUAUGUUAAGAGGGUGAGAGAGAGUGAAAGUGAAAGGAGGAAGAGAGUUGAAGGAUUUAAAAGAACAUUUACUUUUCUAGAAACUACUUAAUGGUACCUAAAAAUAAUAACCCUUUAAACAUUCAACCUUACUUUAUUAAAUUAAAGUUUUAUACUAAUUUCUUAUAAUUAAAAAUUUAGGUACUUAUUUAUAUUUAUCAAAAAUAGUUUACGAGUUGGGUGUUCCAAAUAAACUUUUCCUCACUCCAGAUAUUAUUAAGAUAGAUAAUUAAUAUAACAAUAAUUUAAUUUUUUGUCUAAUGAAAGCAUAUACUUAUAUGCACAUGAAUGCAUAACUGAAGUCAAUUAUAAAAUCUAAGAAAAUAAAAUAAAGCAGCAUCAGCAGCAGUAA